rnacentral:rRNA from 1 species
AAUUCUGGACAAUGGGGGAAACCCUGAUCCAGCUAUCCCGCGUGUGCGAUGAAGGCCUUCGGGUUGUACAGCACUCUUGUCGGGGAAGAAAAGGGUCUGGGUAAUACCCGGAACUGACUGCGGUACACGCAGAAUAAGCACCGGCUAACGAAGUGCCAGCACCCGCGGUAAUACGGAGGGUGCAAGCGUUAAUCGGAAUAACUGGGCGUAAAGCGUGCGCAGGCGGUUCGGAAAGAAGGAUGUGAAAACCCAGGGCUCAACCUUGGAACUGCAGUCUUAACUACCGAACUAGAGUAUGUCAGAGGGGGGUAGAAUUCCGCGUGUAGCAGUGAAAUGCGUAGAUAUGCGGAGGAAUACCGAUGGCGAAGGCAGCCCCCUGGGAUAAUACUGACGCUCAUGCACGAAAGCGUGGGUAGCAAACAGG